GAGUGUGCCUGGCAGAGCCCCUGUGUGCAUGAUGAGGAUUCAGGCCUGUGUCUGGUCGGGCUUCCUGCCCUGCAGGCUCUGUUGUACCACUGCCAGUUUUUUGAGAGCGUGGGCCGGAUGGUGAAGAGCUGUUACAUGGGCAGACAUGCCUUCACCCUCAGCCCCCCUCCACCGCCAGCCAAUGUCACCCAGGAGACUGAUCUGAAUGAUUCUCUGAAGCACUGGAGAGAGAUGCUUGCUCCUCUAAACCAAACUCAGGGCUCAGGAUCCAUGUC